CUCAAAAAAAUGAUUCUUGCCACUAUUUGAAAUUAAGCAAAAAAAUCUAAUAAAACAUAUUUAAAAACUAAUAAAAAUACCUAUUAUUACUCCAAAUUACUUUAAUACAACAUGAAUGAAAUGGAUCCAAGACCAACCUGAUCAAAUUACAUAAACUAUACUUAAUUCGUUGCCAUAAGGCGCAAAUGCAAGUGUUGCGCAUGCUCACUGAAGCCUGAGUUCCAAAAACAACAACUGAAGGCGCAAUGGCGAUCUACUGUCUGACUCGGCGAAAAGGAGGAUUUGGAUGAAUAGAUGUGGAUGUUUAACAAGAAACCUCUUCAGUGGGACAAUAACUCAAUUAUGAUAUGUGAGUUUUGUGGCAACGUAAAGUGUGUGAGAAGCAUCACAGAAGUAUCCAGUAUGUUUAAGUAAUUGAAACAUUCUAAGAUUAAACUUGGACAUUUUGAGGAGAGAUUCAGUCAACAUGUUCACAGUAAAUUAAAUAAAAGCAGAAUUAAUGCGGAUAACGACUGAGCCACUUCUGUCAACGUUCAUAGCAGCUGGACAGAUACACUAAUCAAAUUAAAGUUUUCAGCAGCAAAGGAGCUUCUGGACAAAAGAUAUCACACACGUUGCAGUGGCAGACAAGUGCGAAGAUAUACACUUCAAAUGAGACUGUGUUAUAAAGAGUCUGUGUGGUGACAUUACAACACUUCCAGUUUUCCAGAAUUAUUCCAGAAUUCCAGGACUGCAGUCCUGAAGGAACUGAGGGAGGAAUUUCUGAGACCACUCUGGGCCCUUUUGUGACCCUUAAAGAAAGCGCUGAGGAUGAGCCAGUGGAUGUUGGCGUAGCAACAGAGGAUUUAAAACUACUACAACACUUAGGAGUUUUUCCUUUGGAUGCUGUUUGCUGUUUGGAUUGGAUCUACGCAAUCAAGCUAUGCUCCGAGUCUCAAAUUCACUUUUGAAUUCUUCCAAAAGGUACUGAUAAAUUUAGAUUUUAGGACAUCACAUAGAUGUUUCGAUCCACUGGAAGGACUUAGAAACUUUGAAAACUAAAACAUUGAAUUGAAGACCGUAUGAUCGAUGACACUAUGAACCAAUGACACUUACUCAAAUCAAGAGACUACACCUAAUGCACCUUCUGGCUUCCUCUAACUCUGAUAUUUUUAAAGGGUUAGUUCACCUAAAAAUGAAAUUUCUGUCAUUAAUUACUCACCCUCAUGUCGUUCCACACCCGUAAGACCGUUGCUCAUCUUUGGAACACAAAUUAGGUUAUUUUUGAUGAAAUCCGUGAGCUAUCUGACCUCAGAUAGACUGCAACACAACUACCACAUUCAAGGCCCAGAAAGGUAGUAAAGACAUUGCUAAAAUAGUCAACGUGACUGUAGUGGUUCAACCUUAAUGUUAUGAAGUGACAAAAAUGCUUUUUGUGUGCAAAAAAACAAAACAAAUAUAACGACUUUAUACAAAAUUUCUUCCCUUUUAUGUCAGUCUCCUAUGCAGUUGACGUUGUACACACAUAAUAUCUUAAUUUGUGUUCUGAAGAUUAAUGAAGGUCUUAGGGGUUUGGAGCAAAAUUAGGGUGGGUAAUUAAUGAAAGAAAUUUAAUUUUUGGGUGAACUAACCCUUUUAACAGAGAUGUUAGCCCUUGUGCUAUUCCUUGUCCAGGAAGUUAACUUGUGAGUAGGACACUUGGGCUACUGAAUGUCUAAAUGCUGAAAUGUGACAGACAACAGAAAACCUGUUAUAUGUAAAGUCAAAUAUAAUCCUUUAGAUUGCUUUUCUUUUUUCCCCCAAGUGUCCUGAUUGUUUGACUAUCAUACUAUGCAGAGAGAUCCCAAUGUUACCUUGAAUAUAUGAAAAUAAUGCUUGAUGUUGAUAUUUGGUUCCUUGUUGAUCUAUGAACUUUUUGGCACACAGACUUAAAACUAAAAAGUCAAACAAGGAGCCAUAACCAUUGUGUUAGUUUGGGAGAAGGCACAAAAUUGCUGUAAACAGUUGUGAAAUACUGCAUUGUGUUCUAUUUUUUUGUCAGAUUGGAUGUUUCUUAUUAUUCCUGCAGCAAUUGAGACAAUAAAUUUUUAUGAAUAUAA